rnacentral:rRNA from 1 species
CCACGGGGGGCAGCAGUGGGGAAUAUUGGACAAUGGGCGAAAGCCUGAUCCAGCCAUGCCGCGUGUGUGAAGAAGGCCUUCGGGUUGUAAAGCACUUUCAGUGGGGAAGAAAGCCUUGGGGCUAAUACCCUCGAGGAAGGACAUCACCCACAGAAGAAGCACCGGCUAACUCCGUGCCAGCAGCCGCGGUAAUACGGAGGGUGCGAGCGUUAAUCGGAAUUACUGGGCGUAAAGCGCGCGUAGGCGGUCUGAUAAGCCGGUUGUGAAAGCCCCGGGCUCAACCUGGGAACGGCAUCCGGAACUGUCAGGCUAGAGUGCAGGAGAGGAAGGUAGAAUUCCCGGUGUAGCGGUGAAAUGCGUAGAGAUCGGGAGGAAUACCAGUGGCGAAGGCGGCCUUCUGGACUGACACUGACGCUGAGGUGCGAAAGCGUGGGUAGCAAACAGGAUUAGAUACCCGUGUAGUC